UACGUAGGGGGCAAGCGUUGUCCGGAAUCAUUGGGCGUAAAGAGCGUGUAGGCGGCCCGAUAAGUCCGCCGUGAAAGUCCAGGGCUCAACCCUGGAAUGCCGGUGGAAACUGUCGGGCUGGAGUCCGGAAGAGGCGAGUGGAAUUCCUGGUGUAGCGGUGAAAUGCGCAGAUAUCAGGAGGAACACCGGUGGCGAAGGCGGAUCUCUGGGCCAUAACUGACGCUGAGGAGCGAAAGCAUGGGGAGCGAACAGG
rnacentral:rRNA from 1 species